rnacentral:rRNA from 1 species
UAAUGUAUGGGGAUCUGCCCGAUAGAGGGGGAUAACUACUGGAAACGGUGGCUAAUACCGCAUAAUGUCUACGGACCAAAGCAGGGGCUCUUCGGACCUUGCACUAUCGGAUGGACCCAUAUGGGAUUGCUAGUAGGUGGGGUAAAGGCUCACCUAGGCGACGAUCUCUAGCUGGUCUGAGAGGAUGAUCAGCCACACUGGGACUGAGACACGGCCCAG